AUUUCCGGGCGGUCUGUUAAGCGUGUUGUGAAAUUUAGGUGCUCAACAUCUAACUUGCAGCGCGAACUGGCGGACUUGAGUGCACGCAACGUAUGCGGAAUUCAUGGUGUAGCGGUGAAAUGCUUAGAUAUCAUGACGAACUCCGAUUGCGAAGGCAGCGUACGGGAGUGUUACUGACGCUUAAGCUCGAAGGUGCGGAUAUCGAACAGGAUUAGAUACCCUGGUAGUCCGCACGGUAAACGAUGGAUGCGGGCUGUUAGCGCCUGGCGUUAGCGGCUAAGCGAAAGCAUUAAGCAUCCCACCUGAAGAGUACGCCGGCAACGGUGAAACUCAAAGGAAUUGACCCGGGCCCGCACA
rnacentral:rRNA from 1 species